GAUACCAGGGGAAUAAUGUCUUGCAACAUGCCAUGCUUGCAUGGUAAUGGUGCGAAGACAUUAUGACCCGCCAAAACAUGAGGAAGUAGCGGGGCAGGGGCCCCGCGGAUUCCGAAUGUUUUGCAGGAUUGUGGGAGCGCAAAGCGCGGAACAAUCCUG
rnacentral:sRNA from 1 species